rnacentral:rRNA from 1 species
UCCCCGCAGUCCAAGUCGCAACCACAUUUGUUGGGUCUAAAACAUCCGUAGCUAGCUUCGUAAGUCUCGUGUGAAAUCUCGUCUCUCAAGGACGAACGUGCACGAGAUACUGUGAAGCUUGAGACCGGGAGACGCAGUGAGUACGCAUCGGGUACCGGUAAAAUGGGUUGAUCCAAUGCGGACUACCAAUCGCGAAGGCACGCUGCGAGCACGGAUCUGACAGUGAGGGAUGAAGGCUAGGGGCGCAAAGUGG